rnacentral:rRNA from 1 species
AGGACGAACGCUGGCGGCGUGCUUAACACAUGCAAGUCGAGCGGUAAGGCCUUUCGGGGUACACGAGCGGCGAACGGGUGAGUAACACGUGGGUGAUCUGCCCUGCACUUCGGGAUAAGCCUGGGAAACUGGGUCUAAUACCGGAUAUGACCUCAGGUUGCAUGGCUUGGGGUGGAAAGAUUUAUCGGUGCAGGAUGGGCCCGCGGCCUAUCAGCUUGUUGGUGGGGUAAUGGCCUACCAAGGCGACGACGGGUAGCCGACCUGAGAGGGUGACCGGCCACACUGGGACUGAGACACGGCCCAGACUCCUACGGGAGGCAGCAGUGGGGAAUAUUGCACAAUGGGCGAAAGCCUGAUGCAGCGACGCCGCGUGAGGAUGACGGCCUCGGGUUGUAAACCGUCUUUCAGCAGGACGAAGCGCAAGUGACGGUACCUGCAGAAGAAGACACCGGCUAACUACGUAGCCAGCAGCCGC